rnacentral:rRNA from 1 species
AUUGAACGCUGGCGGCAGGCCUAACACAUGCAAGUCGAACGGUAACAGGAAGAAGCUUGCUUCUUUGCUGACGAGUGGCGGACGGGUGAGUAAUGUCUGGGAAACUGCCUGAUGGAGGGGGAUAACUACUGGAAACGGUAGCUAAUACCGCAUAACGUCGCAAGACCAAAGAGGGGGACCUUCGGGCCUCUUGCCAUCGGAUGUGCCCAGAUGGGAUUAGCUAGUAGGUGGGGUAACGGCUCACCUAGGCGACGAUCCCUAGCUGGUCUGAGAGGAUGACCAGCCAAACUGGAACUGGACCACGGUCCAGACUCCUACGGGAGGCAGCAGUGGGGAAUAUUGGACAAUGGGCGCAAGCCUGAUGCAGCCAUGCCGCGUGUAUGAAGAAGGCCUUCGGGUUGUAAAGUACGUUCAGCGGGGAGGAAGGGAGUAAAGUUAAUACCUUUGCUCAUUGACGUUACCCGCAGAAGAAGCACCGGCUAACUCCGUG